GCAGGCCUACCACAUGCAAGUCGAACGGUAGCACAGAGAGCUUGCUCUCGGGUGACGAGUGGCGGACGGGUGAGUAAUGUCUGGGAAACUGCCUGAUGGAGGGGGAUAACUACUGGAAACGGUAGCUAAUACCGCAUAACGUCUUCGGACCAAAGUGGGGGACCUUCGGGCCUCAUGCCAUCAGAUGUGCCCAGAUGGGAUUAGCUAGUGGGUGGGGUAACGGCUCACCCAGGCGACGAUCCCUAGCUGGUCUGAGAGGAUGACCAGCCACACUGGAACUGAGACACGGUCCAGACUCCUACGGGAGGCAGCAGUGGGGAAUAUUGCACAAUGGGCGCAAGCCUGAUGCAGCCAUGCCGCGUGUAUGAAGAAGGCCUUCGGGUUGUAAAGUACUUUCAGCGGGGAGGAAGGGGAAGUGGCUAAUUAGCCAUUUUCAUUGACGUUUACCCGCAGAAGAAGCACCGGCUAAACUCCGUGCCAGCAGCCGCGGUUAAUACGGAGGGUGCAAGCGUUAAUCGGAAUUACUGGGCGUAAAGCGCACGCAGGCGGUCUGUCAAGUCGGAAUGUGAAAUCCCCGGGCUACAACCCGGGAACUGGCGUCCGAAACUUGGCAGGACUGGAGUUCUUUGUAGAGGGGGGUGGAAAUUCCCAGGUGUAGCGGUGAAAUGCGUAGAGAUCUGGAGGAAUACCGGUGGCGAAGGCGGCCCCCUGGACAAAAAAAAGACGCUCAGGUGCGAAAGCGUGGGGAGCAAACAGGAUUAGAUACCGUGGUAGUCCACGCUGUAAACGAUGUCGACUUGGAGGUUGUUCCCCUGAGGAGUGGCUUCCGGAGCUAACGCGUUAAGUAGACCGCCUGGGGAGUACGGCCGCAAGGUUAA
rnacentral:rRNA from 1 species